rnacentral:lncRNA from 1 species
CAAUUCUAGUAAAAUGGUACUUUUUUCUUAGGGGAAACACUUUAAACAUCUCUCCCCCUUCCAUCCUACCCCCGGUGCAAGAAUAAUUCAGUAUUUUUCCUUAUUAUAUUCCAGGUACAGUGACAAAGAAAUGACAAAUCUAUUUAUUAAUUGGCUAGAAGUCUUCUUGCAAUGUAAAAUGAAAACAGAAAGCCCUUUCUCCACAUAACUCAGAUGUUGAAACUUUAAAGAUAGUGGUCUUCAGUUGAAAGAUCAUCAGAGGAACUGAGUUCAAAUGUAAUCCUUGAGACUAAAUCUCCUAGAACCUGAUUUUCCUGAUCUGUAAAAUAAGGGAGUUAAACUAACUGGCUUCUGAAUGAGGUCCCUUCCAAGAAUGAACAAUUUCAUCAAUAUGGGAAAUUCCUUCUUUAUAAACUCCAUUUGCUGCUGCAGAAAGAACAAAAAAAAAAGUGAUUUAGUGGGGUGUCAUGGAUGCUGUCUGAGAGCCAAAACUGUUACCCAUUUCAGGAUUCUACAAUAUCCUACAUUUAAACUAUGCUGAUCUAAGAUGUACACAUGGCUCCUCAUGGUUUCUGCUGCUCAAGAAUUAAGUCUUCUAAUUAUUUCUGUGGUUGCUGCAGAGGAGUUUGAUUUUCAGCUUCCUGAUCUCACAUUGCCAGAUUCUAAUAUAUCAACUAUUCUUAAAUAUAUUUGUUUAUGUUGAGGUAUUUAGUCUUAGAUACAUAUAAAUUAAUUCACAGCAUUCUUUUCAAAGUCAUUGAAAUAAGAAAAAGAACAUUUUAAAUGUAGGAAAUAAUUCUUUCUGGACUAUUGCUUGGAAUAUUCUAAAUUUUAGUUAUUUUGUAGAAAAACAUGAAAUGUAAGUAUCACUGUAUUUAAAAAGCUCUGUAAUCCCCUUUAGUGCCAUUUAUGCACUCUCCUAUUAGUGUUUUUUAGGCUCUAAUUUUGUUCUGACAAAGAGUUCUAGAUACUAGUUACCUGACAAUUAGUUGCUUUGGGGAAAAAAAAAAAUUAACCCUUCUGUGAAUGUGAAGCCUCUACCCAACCCCAUUUUUCUUUAAUAAUUCAGAAAUAUUUCAUAUCUAUUCUGUUCUGAUUCAAACUUUUGACUUUAUUCAAAGCUGGAUGACUAAGCUGUAUAUACUUCUCUGUUAUGAGUCUGUGCUUUUCUGACACACUGAGUUAAAUUGUACACCGUAUAUUUGUACACUAAGGCCCAGUGGCACACUCUUGGCCUGAGUCCAGUAAAGGAUCUGCUACAGUAUGUCUGUUAAAACAACUUAUUCUUAUGAUCUAAUUGGUCUAAGAGUACUUGUAGGUGUCUAAGACUCUUCAGAUCAUCACUGCUUACUUGCAAAAAUAGAAUUGGGUAUAG